CUUGGAUUUUUAUUUGGCAAAUAUUAAUUGUAUGAUAAAUUAUCAUGCACAGCAAUGUUUUUUUUUCCUGAAAAUGUUCUGUAUUUUUUAUGCACCUCUCAGUCUCCCAUGUAGCAUCCUUUUGAAAAAUAUGAUAAAGUCCCUUCUAAUCCAGUGGCCUUUUUUUUUAAUUUUUUUUUGGUGCCACCUCUGUAUCAAACUAAGCUCGGUCCAGAAGUGGACUCAGUCUUGUGUCUCUGCUUGCUCUGUCCCCUCCAGAGCCCCGCUCCAGUCUCCUUGCCUCCCCACUGAUGAGGGGCUGGAGGACGCCUUCUUUGCAGAAGAGGCCCUCAGCUUCGCGCAGCUAGAAGAAGCUGAGAUAAGUGAUCUGGAAGGUGCUUUCGUACAGGUGGAAGAGAAGACGGUUGAAGUUACCGAAACUGAUGCUGAAGCUUCAGAUGCCUUGUCCUUUGCUUGAAGCACCUAGACACCUAGCAGCAUGUCCAAGCAUGCUCGAGACCUUGAGCUAGACCGGCUGGUGCAUGACAAGCUGCUCGACCGCGGGGACACCUCCCCUCCCGUGCUAGAGCAGCUCCCCAAUGUCCCCAGCUACCGAGCUGCUGCUGCCUCCCGCAUCCCCGUCCUUGCUGCCAGAAAGCGAAAGGCUGGAGUUGUCAACCCCGUUUUUUGCAAUGAGGAGCAAUCCCCUGUUCACCCCCUAGGUAUCAGAGGAUCAGCUUUGACAAUGGGAUUGUGUAGCUAGUGGGUGGGUCCUAGUCCUGGUACGGUUGCUUUUUGUUGCUUUUUGAAAAACAAAAACAAAACAAUAAUAGAUAAGAACACACUUCAUGUUGCAGCACAGAGACUAGGAAACAAACUUCGUGUUUUUCUGCUUCUGCUUCAUCAUGACAUGACUUUUUAGUUCAGGUCCUAGAGUGUAAUUGCAAAUAACCAUAAGUGAUCACUCCAACUUGGCUGAAACUCCAUGAAAGGUCCUGCAGGCUGAGGGUUAAAUAUCUGCUGCACAUGCAUUUUCUCCUUAGCAUCCAUGCAACCCACUCACACUAAAAUUACAGUAAGACGGGGGUUUACUGUUUGCAGCUUUCUGUGUUUUAGCCCAGAAAUACAAACUGUGUUUCUGUAGCUUUGCUUUGCUUUGUUUUUAGCCAGCAAGCCAGAUUCUGCUGCUUUUCCUUACACGUGCCAGAAUGUUAACCUUGCAAUCCACAUGGGCCUUUCCUUGGUGAUUCAGUUGAGCCAUGCUCUGAUCCAUGGGUCCUGCAGCUGUGUGGGACUGGAAGGCUUGCACAGGGUCCUUCAGUUGGGUGAAAUUCCCUGGGAAGACCACCAGUGGGGACACACGGCAUCUCCUUACGUGGCUUAGAAAGUGAGGACUGGUCCUAGCCUGUCCGGCUGCAGGAUCCAACCAAGCUGCUGCCAGCAGCUGCUUCUCUCGUGGGCAAGUGGCAUCACUGCCAUACCCUGCAGACAUCUGCCCAACGCUUGUAGUGAGCAGGCUGAACCCUUGCAAGCUCUGAAAGCAGACAGGAAGCAAACAGCACUUCUUACCUCGUUAAAAACUGAGCAAAACGAAAAGGAAACGCUCCAAUGCUUUGGGGAGAAAUUGCAAAAUAAAUAAAGGAAAAAAAAAAGCAGCCCUCCUCCAGCACGUGGCUUAGAGGCCAUCAGGAAUGAAGGCAGCUGGUGGGAGCGGCUGCCGGCUGCCCCCAGUUCACUCUGCCUUUCUCCCCUUCUCCAAGGGCUCGGUCACUGCCUCACUGUGGGUGUCGAGGACGUGGACGGUGGAGGUGAUGCUGCAGAGGAGGAUGGCACCUGCUUGCCGCUGC
ensembl:lncRNA